rnacentral:rRNA from 1 species
CACGUAGGGGGCGAGCGUUGUCCGGAUUCAUUGGGCGUAAAGCGCGCGUAGGCGGCUCGGAAAGUCGGGCGUGAAAUGCCGGGGCUCAACCCCGGGACUGCGUCCGAUACUUCCGAGCUGGAGGUAGGUAGGGGAGAUCGGAAUUCCUGGUGUAGCGGUGAAAUGCGCAGAUAUCAGGAGGAACGACCGGUGGCGAAGGCGGAUCUCUGGGCCUUACCUGGCGCUGGAGGCGCGAAAGCUAGGGGAGCGAACAGG